AGGCGGCGGCAGCCCGCGUGGCGCUGUGGCGCCCAGCGAAGGGGCAGUGCUGGCCACUCGUGUGGCCCUUUGGCUGCUGGCACCCAGUGAGAGGGGGGAGGCCAGGGACAGGUGGCAGCCAGGCUGCCCACAGGCCCUGGGCGGUGGGGGCCCGGCCCCUGUGCCUUGGGCAGCCUGGCCCUUGCUGAGGCGUGCUUGCGCGUGUCCGUUGUCGCCCUCACCCAGCUGCUGUGGCGGAGAAACGGAGGCCAGCGCGGGGAGCGGAAGCCGGAGCCUGUCGGGAGCGACCCCGGGAAGGCCAGUCCUCCUGCCGGAGGGAGGCGUGUUGGCGUGCGGCCGGUGGCGGGAUCGAUGGCCACCUGGUAGGCGAUGCUGCUGUGGCGGAGAAACGGAGGCCAGCGCGGGGAGCGGAAGCCGGAGCCUGUCGGGAGCGACCCCGGGAAGGCCAGUCCCUCCUGCCGGAGGGAGGCGUGUUGGCGUGCGGCCGGUGGCGGGAUCGAUGGCCACCUGGUAGGCGAUGGUAAGCGGCAGUGGCCUGCGCCAACGUAGCCCCUGGGGCGCCGUGUGUGGCGCCCGGGGGUGGAGCUGACCUGCUUGCCCGCGGUUGGGCUCGGGAGCCUGCGGGCCGCGGCCAGGAGGGAGCUGGCUGGCCGUCCGGCGGUGGGGGCUGUGGCGGUGGCCGUCCCGCGGGUGUGCCCGUGCUCGGAUCGAUGAUGACACCCACAAACGCAUU
rnacentral:lncRNA from 1 species